CUUAAGUGGGGAAUAACGCAUCGAAAGGUGUGCUAAUACCGCAUAAUCUCUGAGGAGAAAAGCAGGGGAUCGUAAGAUCUUGCGCUUUUAGAGCGGCCGAUGUCUGAUUAGCUUGUUGGUGAGGUAAAGGCUUACCAAGGCUUCGAUCAGUAGCUGGUCUGAGAGGACGACCAGCCACACUGGGACUGAGACACGGCCCAGACUCCUACGGGAGGCAGCAGUGGGGAAUUUUGGACAAUGGGGGCAACCCUGAUCCAGCCAUGCCGCGUGAGUGAAGAAGGCCUUCGGGUUGUAAAGCUCUUUCAGCCGGAACGAAACGGUUACGGUUAAUACCCGUGACUACUGACGGUACCGGAAGAAGAAGCACCGGCUAACUACGUGCCAGCAGCCGCGGUAAUACGUAGGGUGCGAGCGUUAAUCGGAAUUACUGGGCGUAAAGCGUGCGCAGGUGGUUUUGUAAGUCAGAUGUGAAAUCCCCGGGCUUAACCUGGGAACUGCGUUUGAAACUACAAGGCUAGAGUGUGGCAGAGGGGGGUGGAAUUCCGCGUGUAGCAGUGAAAUGCGUAGAGAUGUGGAGGAACACCGAUGGCGAAGGCAGCCCCCUGGGUCAACACUGACGCUCAGGCACGAAAGCAUGGGGAGCAAACAGGAUUAGAUACCCUGGUAGUCCAUGCCCUAAACGAUGUCAACUAGUUGUCGGGCCUUAACGGGCUUGGUAACGUAGCUAACGCGUGAAGUUGACCGCCUGGGGAGUACGAUCGCAAGAUUAAAACUCAAAGGAAUUGACGGGGACCCGCACAAGCGGUGGAUUAUGUGGAUUAAUUCGAUGCAACGCGAAAAACCUUACCUACCCUUGACAUGUAUCGAAGCUCGCAGAGAAGUGAGUGUGUCUGAAAGGGAACGAUAACACAGGUGCUGCAUGGCUGACGUCAGCUCGUGUCGUGAGAUGUUGGGUUAAGUCCCGCAACGAGCGCAAGCCUUGUCAUUAAUUGCCAUCAUUUAGUUGGGCACUUUAAUGAGACUGCCGGUGACAAACCGGAGGAAGGUGGGGAUGACGUCAAGUCCUCAUGGCCCUUAUGGGUAGGGCUUCACACGUAA
rnacentral:rRNA from 1 species